GGCAGUGGUAGCUCUGUGGUCAAGACUUCAGGCUACUGAUCAGAAGGCUGUGAGUUCAAAUCCCAGCACUGCCA